ACCAAGAUGGCCGAGUGGUUAAGGCGGUGGGCUUAAGUUCCACUAUCGAGAGAUUCCUGGGUUCGAACCCCAGUCUUGGUA